rnacentral:rRNA from 2 species
UUGGGAAUAUUGGGCAAUGGGGGAAACCCUGACCCAGCAACGCCGCGUGGAGGAAGAAGGUUUUCGGAUCGUAAACUCCUGUCCUCAGGGAAGAGCAGAAGACGGUACCUGAGGAGGAAGCCCCGGCUAACUACGUGCCAGCAGCCGCGGUAAUACGUAGGGGGCAAGCGUUGUCCGGAAUGAUUGGGCGUAAAGGGCGCGUAGGCGGCUCGGUAAGUCUGGAGUGAAAGUCCUGCUUUCAAGGUGGGAAUUGCUUUGGAUACUGUCGAGCUUGAGUGCAGGAGAGGUAAGUGGAAUUCCCAGUGUAGCGGUGAAAUGCGUAGAGAUUGGGAGGAACACCAGUGGCGAAGGCGACUUACUGGACUGUAACUGACGCUGAGGCGCGAAAGUGUGGGGAGCAAACAGG